rnacentral:lncRNA from 1 species
CUCCUCACGGCUGGGGCAGAGCUCCCCGGGAGCGCCGGCGAUUUGCUUCCUAAGGAAAAGCCUUUUGCGAGCUUGGCAUAGUGGAAGACAACAACAGCAUCACAGUGACACAGCAUUAACUCCAGGCAUCAUUGUACAGAGCACUGGUGGUGGACACAUCACAGCAGGGAUGGCUCUAACAAGGACUGCUGGCACUGCUGAUGUUGGAAGAGCAGACGGACCUCUCAUUGUUCCAGUGAAAUGAGCUUUCUUACGAGACAGACAAAUGCAUCACACAGUGGAGUUGUGUGUGAGGACUUGUGCUUUAACCGAUAAGAACACUGCACGGCAGCCAGGUGACCUACAUUCACAGCUGAAGACAUAAAGCUGACACAACAGCGAAUUGCAUCUAAC